GUUUCAGGGCGGGGUGCAAUUCCCCACUGGCGGUAUCGAGAUGGCAUUCCUGCCGCGGCGUUGCGACGCUGCGCACGGCCACGCUCGGAGUCCGCGACCCGCGCAGAAAAGAGCGGCUGACCCGGUGAGAUUCCGGGACCAACGGUUACAGUCCGGAUGGAAGAAA
rnacentral:ncRNA from 1 species